GGACGGCUUGCCGCUGGUCUGCGCCCUUCGGGUGGCAGGCAAGAGGAAAGUCCGGGCCGCACAGGGCACUCCGCUACCUAACGGGUAGAAGUCCGCGAGGGCUUGCACGUGCAGAAGAAAACAACCGCCACCUCGUGUGGUAAGGGUGAGAAGGCGAGGUAAGAGCUCACCAGGCGCAUGGCGACAUGCGUGCUGUGCACACCGGAGGAGGAAAGUUCAUGUAAACCAGCGCCGCGUCGACUGCAUCCUCCCUGGAGGGUGUAAGGGCGAGAGAGGGCUGCCCGUCCGAGCUGGAGGGUAGAACGAUAGAGGCGUCGUGAGAGCGGCGUCGUAGAUAAAUGGCAGGCACCCGCUUCGGUGGGCACAGAACCCGGCUUACAGGCCCACUGC
rnacentral:RNase_P_RNA from 1 species